CGGAUCUCGAAAGCCUGUCCCAGUUCGGACUGGAGUCUGCAACCCGACUCCACGAAGUUGGAUUCGCUAGUAAUCGCGCAUCAGCCAUGGCGCGGUGAAUACGUUCCCGGGCCUUGUACACACCGCCCGUCAAGCCAUGGGAGCCGGGGGCGCCUGAAGUCCGGGACCGCGAGGACCGGCCUAGGGCGAAACUGGUAACUGGGGCUAAGUCGUAACAAGGUAUC
rnacentral:rRNA from 1 species